UGCGUAGUCGGUUAUUUAAGUCGGGUGUGAAAUCCCCGGGCUCAACCUGGGAAUUGCAUUCGAUACUGGAUAGCUAGAGUUCGGCAGAGGGAAGCGGAAUUUCGGGUGUAGCGGUGAAAUGCGUAGAUAUCCGAAGGAACAUCAGUGGCGAAAGCGGCUUCCUGGACCAGAACUGACGAUCAGGCACGAAAGCGUGGGGAGCAAACAGGAUUAGAUACCCUGGUAGUCCACGCCAUAAACGAUGACAACUAGACGUUGGGAGGGUAAGCCUCACAGUGUCGCAGCUAACGCGUUAAGUUGUCCGCCUGGGGAGUACGGCCGCAAGGUUGAA
rnacentral:rRNA from 1 species